CAAAGUAUUUUGAAGAGAGAGUUAACAGGGCGUGAAACCGCUAGCUGGUAAACGAGUGGAGCCACGAAGUCGUUUCGUAGAAUAAAGAAUACAAAUUCAAUUAGGGUCUCGGCCCUGGUGCACUUUUGUUUAUUCUUCUAUGUAUGCGUACACUGCAACCAAUUAGACAAUCAAUUGUGGAAACAAUUGCUUGGUAUAGGAAGAAAUUUUUGUACUAGGUAAUGAAAUAUCAUAUACUAGCUGUAGGUAGCUUGGUCUAAUCCUCGUGGUUAUACUGAGUGUAUGACAUGUUAGUAUGAGAACUACAAUUGAAUACUGAUUGGCACAAUGAAAAUCCAAAAAUUUGGUACCAGAUAACACUGGCAGUGUUGUAUAUAUGUACAAAUAUUUAUUAUUAGCGUAAGCUUAGUAGUUUUAAAUUUAGACUGGCAGGCUAUCUUGGAUUUCGGUUCUUGAUGCCUGUUUAGCUUUCUAUCUAAUUGGCUAUUAACUUUGCUAGUAAUCUUGUGUUUGCUAUGAUAGCAUGUAUGCAACAAUUGUUUAGUUAUUAUAUUGGCAGUGAGUAGGUCGGCUUUCCACACGACCC
rnacentral:rRNA from 1 species